GUUGUAUCUGUGGAGAGGUUGUAUCUGUGGAGAGGUUGUAUCUGUGGAGAGGUUGUAUCUGUGGAGAGGUUGUAGCUGUGGAGAGGUUGUAUCUGUGGAGAGGUUGUAGCUGUGGAGAGGUUGUAGCUGUGGAGAGGUUGUAGCUGUGGAGGUUGUAGCUGUGGAGAAGUUGUAUCUGUGGAGAGGUUGUAUCUGUGGAGAGGUUGUAGCUGUGGAGAGACUAGCUGUGGAGAGGUUGUAUCUGUGGAGAGGUUGUAGCUGUGGAGAGGUUGUAGCUGUGGAGAGGUUGUAGCUGUGGAGAGGUUGUAUCUGUGGAGAGGUUGUAGCUGUGGAGAGGUUGUAGCUGUGGAGAGGUUGUAGCUGUGGAGAGGUUGUAUCUGUGGAG
ensembl:lncRNA